AACGAACGCUGGCGGCAGGCUUAACACAUGCAAGUCGAACGCCCCGCAAGGGGAGUGGCAGACGGGUGAGUAACACGUGGGCAACCUGCCUGUAAGACUGGGAUAACUUCGGGAAACCGGAGCUAAUACCGGAUGGGUUCUUCCCCCGCAUGGGGGAAGAUGGAAAGACGGUUUCGGCUGUCACUUACAGAUGGGCCCGCGGCGCAUUAGCUAGUUGGUGGGGUAAUGGCCCACCAAGGCGACGAUGCGUAGCCGACCUGAGAGGGUGAUCAGCCACACUGGAACUGAGACACGGUCCAGACUCCUACGGGAGGCAGCAGUGGGGAAUAUUGGACAAUGGGCGAAAGCCUGAUCCAGCCAUGCCGCGUGUGUGAAGAAGGUCUUCGGAUUGUAAAGCACUUUAAGUUGGGAGGAAGGGUUGUAAGCUAAUAUCUUGCAGCUUUGACGUUACCAACAGAAUAAGCACCGGCUAACUCUGUGCCAGCCGCCGCGGUAACAC
rnacentral:rRNA from 1 species